UACGUAGGGGGCUAGCGUUGUCCGGAAUCAUUGGGCGUAAAGAGCGUGUAGGCGGCCCGGUAAGUCCGCUGUGAAAGUCGGGGGCUCAACCCUCGAAUGCCGGUGGAUACUGUCGGGCUAGAGUGCGGAAGAGGCGAGUGGAAUUCCUGGUGUAGCGGUGAAAUGCGCAGAUAUCAGGAGGAACACCAAUGCGAAGGCAGCUCGCUGGGACGUAACUGACGCGUGAGGCACGAAGGUCAGGGGAGCAAACGGG
rnacentral:rRNA from 1 species